AGUGAACGCUGGCGGUAGGCCUAACACAUGCAAGUCGAACGGCAGCACAGUAAGAGCUUGCUCUUACGGGUGGCGAGUGGCGGACGGGUGAGGAAUACAUCGGAAUCUACUUUUUCGUGGGGGAUAACGUAGGGAAACUUACGCUAAUACCGCAUACGACCUACGGGUGAAAGCAGGGGAUCUUCGGACCUUGCGCGAUUGAAUGAGCCGAUGUCGGAUUAGCUAGUUGGCGGGGUAAAGGCCCACCAAGGCGACGAUCCGUAGCUGGUCUGAGGGGAUGAUCCGCCAACCUGGAACUGGGCGCGGGCCCAGCCCCCCACGGGGGGCAGCGGGGGGGAAUUUGGGAAAAGGGGGGCAACCCUGACCCAGCCAUCCCGGGUGGGUGAAGAAGGCCUUCGGGUUGAAAAGCCCUUUUGUUGGGAAAAAAAAGCAGCAGGUUAAUCCCCCGCUGUUCUGACGGUACCCAAAGAAAAAGCACCGGCAAACUUCGU
rnacentral:rRNA from 1 species